rnacentral:rRNA from 1 species
UACAGAGGGUGCGAGCGUUAAUCGGAAUUACUGGGCGUAAAGGGCGCGUAGGUGGUUAAUUAAGUCAGAUGUGAAAUCCCCGGGCUUAACCUGGGAAUGGCAUAUGAAACUGGUUAGCUAGAGUUUGGGAGAGGGAAGUGGAAUUUCCGGUGUAGCGGUGAAAUGCGUAGAUAUCGGAAGGAACACCAGUGGCGAAGGCGACUUCCUGGCCCGAUACUGACACUGAGGCGCGAAAGCGUGGGGAGCAAACAGG